AUGAACGCUAGCUACAGGCUUAACACAUGCAAGUCGAGGGGCAGCAUGGUCUUAGCUUGCUAAGACUGAUGGCGACCGGCGCACGGGUGAGUAACACGUAUCCAACCUGCCGUCUACUCUUGGACAGCCUUCUGAAAGGAAGAUUAAUACAAGAUGGCAUCAUGAGUCCGCAUGUUCACAUGAUUAAAGGUAUUCCGGUAGACGAUGGGGAUGCGUUCCAUUAGAUAGUAGGCGGGGUAACGGCCCACCUAGUCUUCGAUGGAUAGGGGUUCUGAGAGGAAGGUCCCCCACAUUGGAACUGAGACACGGUCCAAACUCCUACGGGAGGCAGCAGUGAGGAAUAUUGGUCAAUGGGCGAGAGCCUGAACCAGCCAAGUAGCGUGAAGGAUGACUGCCCUAUGGGUUGUAAACUUCUUUUAUAAAGGAAUAAAGUCGGGUAUGGAUACCCGUUUGCAUGUACUUUAUGAAUAAGGAUCGGCUAACUCCGUGCCAGCAGCCGCGGUAAUACGGAGGAUCCGAGCGUUAUCCGGAUUUAUUGGGUUUAAAGGGAGCGUAGAUGGAUGUUUAAGUCAGUUGUGAAAGUUUGCGGCUCAACCGUAAAAUUGCAGUUGAUACUGGAUAUCUUGAGUGCAGUUGAGGCAGGCGGAAUUCGUGGUGUAGCGGUGAAAUGCUUAGAUAUCACGAAGAACUCCGAUUGCGAAGGCAGCCUGCUAAGCUGCAACUGACAUUGAGGCUCGAAAGUGUGGGUAUCAAACAGGAUUAGAUACCCUGGUAGUCCACACGGUAAACGAUGAAUACUCGCUGUUUGCGAUAUACUGCAAGCGGCCAAGCGAAAGCGUUAAGUAUUCCACCUGGGGAGUACGCCGGCAACGGUGAAACUCAAAGGAAUUGACGGGGGCCCGCACAAGCGGUGGAGCAUGUGGUUUAAUUCGAAGCAACGCGAAGAACCUUACCAGGUCUUGACAUCCGAUGCAUAGCGCAGAGAUGCGUGAAGUCCUUCGGGACAUCGAGACAGGUGGUGCAUGGUUGUCGUCAGCUCGUGCCGUGAGGUGUCGGCUUAAGUGCCAUAACGAGCGCAACCCUUGUUGUCAGUUACUAACAGGUUCCGCUGAGGACUCUGACAAGACUGCCAUCGUAAGAUGUGAGGAAGGUGGGGAUGACGUCAAAUCAGCACGGCCCUUACGUCCGGGGCUACACACGUGUUACAAUGGGGGGUACAGAGGGCCGCUACCACGCGAGUGGAUGCCAAUCCCCAAAACCUCUCUCAGUUCGGACUGGAGUCUGCAACCCGACUCCACGAAGCUGGAUUCGCUAGUAAUCGCGCAUCAGCCACGGCGCGGUGAAUACGUUCCCGGGCCUUGUACACACCGCCCGUCAAGCCAUGGGAGCCGGGGGUACCUGAAGUGCGUAACCGCGAGGAGCGCCCUAGGGUAAAACUGGUGACUGGGGCU
rnacentral:rRNA from 1 species